rnacentral:rRNA from 1 species
GACGAACGCUGGCGGCGUGCUUAACACAUGCAAGUCGAACGGAAAGGCCCUGCUUUUGUGGGGUGCUCGAGUGGCGAACGGGUGAGUAACACGUGAGUAACCUGCCCUUGACUUUGGGAUAACUUCAGGAAACUGGGGCUAAUACCGGAUAGGAGCUCCUGCUGCAUGGUGGGGGUUGGAAAGUUUCGGCGGUUGGGGAUGGACUCGCGGCUUAUCAGCUUGUUGGUGGGGUAGUGGCUUACCAAGGCUUUGACGGGUAGCCGGCCUGAGAGGGUGACCGGCCACAUUGGGACUGAGAUACGGCCCAGACUCCUACGGGAGGCAGCGGUGGGGAAUAUUGCACAAUGGGCGGAAGCCUGAUGCAGCGACGCCGCGUGCGGGAUGACGGCCUUCGGGUUGUAAACCGCUUUCGCCUGUGACGAAGCGUGAGUGACGGUAAUGGGUAAAGAAGCACCGGCUAACUACGUG